AGUCAAGGCUAGUAGAUAAGUAUAAGAUAAACCACCUCCAUCCCACUGUUGGCCAGAAAUGCCUCACAUAUUUUCAUGGCAUUUGAAUAACUGUGGGCCAAAAGCAGUUCAACCCCAUACCCGGGCCGGUAAAUGAGUAAAAAAUUGAAGAAAAGACAAAAACUGGAAAAAAAAACUGAGACAAUUAAGCUUAAGGAGCAUUUCAUUUCAUUCGAUUUCGAUGCGAAGAAAGUUCCAGCAUUUAGCCGCCAAAGAGAAACCUGGGCCCAGAGCCCAGGGCUGAUCUACAACCGAUGGAUGGGAUGGGUUGGAAUGGGGUUUGGGAGUUUGAGGAUGCUGCCAGUGCCCACACGUGAGACUAGACUUGUGACUUGUUGCUGCCGUUGUAGGCUGGCUGGCAGUUGGUUUUUGGCUUCAACCCGUUGGAUCCCGGCUCCUACAGCUCCCAUAGCUGCUGCCUGAUGAUCUAAUUUGGCAACAAUUGUCGUGGUCGUCGAUCGCUGAUGCCGAUGAUCGCGAAUCGAGCUGGAGCUAGUCCCCCUCCCCCCAUACCCAAGAGGUAGAAACACCACACAUGUGUGAGCUUUUGGAGGAGACCCGAAGCUCGGAGCAGAGGCCCUCCGCCUGGCGAUCGAUUGAUCUCGAUAAUGAGUUUCGUUUCGUUUCGUUUGGCUUCAGAGGACGCACCCAUAAUUUCGUAUGCUCUGUCACACGAAAGUUACCUUUAUGAUUUCCCCAUACAGCCCCAUCCCCAUCCCAUCCCAGGCUUUUCCGCUUGGCUGGAUGCAUCGAUCACACUAGGUGAUCUCUCUCUCUCUCUCCGCCAGA